UGGGAAUUUUGGACAAUGGGCGAAGCCUGAUCCAGCAAUGCCGCGUGUGUGAAGAAGGCCUUCGGGUUGUAAAGCACUUUUGUCCGGAAAGAAAUCCUUGGCUCUAAUACAGUCGGGGGAUGACGGUACCGGAAGAAUAAGCACCGGCUAACUACGUGCCAGCAGCCGCGGUAAUACGUAGGGUGCAAGCGUUAAUCGGAAUUACUGGGCGUAAAGCGUGCGCAGGCGGUUUGCUAAGACCGAUGUGAAAUCCCCGGGCUCAACCUGGGAACUGCAUUGGUGACUGGGCAGGCUAGAGUAUGGCAGAGGGGGGUAGAAUUCCACGUGUAGCAGUGAAAUGCGUAGAGAUGUGGAGGAAUACCGAUGGCGAAGGCAGCCCCCUGGGCCAAUACUGACGCUCAUGCACGAAAGCGUGGGGAGCAAACAGGAUUAGAUACCCUGGUAGUCCACGCCCUAAACGAUGUCAACUAGUUGUUGGGGAUUCAUUUCCUUAGUAACGUAGCUAACGCGUGAAGUUGACCGCCUGGGGAGUACGGUCGCAAGAUUAAACUCAAUG
rnacentral:rRNA from 1 species